GUAAGGAAUAUUGGACAAUGGCCGCAAGGCUGAUCCAGCCAUCCAGCGUGCAGGAAGAAGGCCCUAUGGGUUGUAAACUGCUUUUAUCAGGGAAGAAGCCUCUGGAUUUACUCCGGAACUGACGGUACCUGAAGAAUAAGCACCGGCUAACUCCGUGCCAGCAGCCGCGGUAAUACGGAGGGUGCGAGCGUUAUCCGGAAUUACUGGGUUUAAAGGGUGCGUAGGCGGCUUUGUAAGUCAGGAGUGAAAGUUUGCGGCUCAACCGUAAAAUUGCUUUUGAUACUGCGAGGCUAGAAUUAGGAUGAGGUCAGCGGAAUGUGGCAUGUAGCGGUGAAAUGCAUAGAUAUGCCAUAGAACACCAAUUGCGAAGGCAGCUGGCUAGACCUGGAUUGACGCUGAGGCACGAAAGCGUGGGGAGCGAACAGGAUUAGAUACCCCGGUAGUCC
rnacentral:rRNA from 1 species